rnacentral:rRNA from 1 species
CAGUGCCACGGGAAUACGAAGGGGGCUAGCGUUGUUCGGAUUUACUGGGCGUAAAGGGCGCGUAGGCGGACUGAUAAGUCAGGGGUGAAAUCCCAAGGCUCAACCUUGGAACUGCCUUUGAUACUGUUUGUCUUGAGUUCGAGAGAGGUAAGUGGAACUGCGAGUGUAGAGGUGAAAUUCGUAGAUAUUCGCAAGAACACCAGUGGCGAAGGCGGCUUACUGGCUCGAAACUGACGCUGAGGCGCGAAAGCGUGGGGAGCAAACAGGAUUAGAUACCCCAGUAGUCCCUGUCUCUUAUACA